rnacentral:lncRNA from 1 species
UUUGCAGUUUUAACUUUAGUUUUGUACCGUACACAUAGUAAACCAGUAAACACUAUAUAAUAUAUUAUUUACGAUCAAGGGAUACAUUCUUGUGUAGUGUAUCACAAUGAGAAGUUAAAGUACACGUGACAUCAGCUCACUGAUUGUCUAUUAAAUGUAUUCGUAGUUUAGUACACAAUAUUAAAGUGCAUUGUAUUUUACCAUUUCAAUAUGUGAUAAUGUGUAAUUUAAGAUACUUGUGUUUUAUAAUAGAACUGUUAUUUGUAAUUGUGAUAUUGUUAUUUCAGAGUUUAUUUUUA